rnacentral:rRNA from 1 species
AUUGAACGCUGGCGGCAUGCUUUACACAUGCAAGUCGAACGGUAACAGGCCGCAAGGUGCUGACGAGUGGCGAACGGGUGAGUAACGCAUCGGAACGUGCCCAGUCGUGGGGGAUAACGCAGCGAAAGCUGUGCUAAUACCGCAUACGAUCUGUGGAUGAAAGCGGGGGACCGAAAGGCCUCGCGCGAUUGGAGCGGCCGAUGUCAGAUUAGGUAGUUGGUGGGGUAAAGGCUCACCAAGCCAACGAUCUGUAGCUGGUCUGAGAGGACGACCAGCCAAACGGGGACUGAGACACGGCCCAGACUCCUACGGGAGGCAGCAGUGGGGAAUUUUGGACAAUGGGCGCAAGCCUGAUCCAGCAAUGCCGCGUGCAGGAAGAAGGCCUUCGGGUUGUAAACUGCUUUUGUACGGAGCGAAAAGGCUCUCUCUAAUACAGGGGGCUCAUGACGGUACCGUAAGAAUAAGCGCCGGCUAACUACGUGCCAGCCGCCGCAGUAAUAC